AUGAGUGAAGAAAAAUGCAUCACUUUCCACAGACUAUUACCACUGCUGGAAGAAAUGACCGAGAAGGAUAUUUACUCAGAGAUGAAAUCACAUACCAAAAGGAAGAAAAUACAAUCCAGAACUUCUGACAGGAAAUAUGAGUAUGAUAAGCAUCUAUUUUCAAAGAGUCAUAAAAGUCACAGAAGCAGGUGACUGAAUUAGUCUGGACCACACUGAGGCUUGAAGAGUUCUGGGCCCCACAGCCAGAGGAAGUAUUGCUAGGACUCCACACCGUGGACCUAAGGGUAUAUCAGGAAGAGUAGGAGAUCUUUCUCCCUAAGAAUCACAGAGCCAGGGCCCUUUGCUUGCUAAACGCUUAGGAUGCAAUCCUGACAAGGGAGAGAUAUUGAAUCAUCAUUCUGAAAGUUGAAAGGUGAGUGGAAAUGCUGUCAUCAAGGAAAUGAGAGUGAAUGCCUCAUCUUAUUUAGGCUGCAAAUUGUGUUGGAGUUCAGUGGCUCUGUUCUCAUUCUCCAAUUCUCCAGAAAACUCCCACUCUGACCACUUUAACUCUUGAACUAGUCACUUACUCUCUCCUCACUCAUUUCCAGGUAUCACUGUGAACUCAUUCUAGCCACCUGGAGGCAGAAAUCUAGCCUGUCCCAGUCUUGUCCCUGUCUCUCAUUAUUAAAUUUUGUGCAUGAUAUCCUUUGAAUGUAAAAAACAAACUGAUUUUGUGGGAAGGCUAUUUUUUUAAUUUGAUAUAAGAGUUUCUGUUAUUAAUUUCGGAAAAGUGGGAUGAGAAUGCACACAUAAUUCACUCUUAUCCCUUACCUAUAAAAGUAUAAACAAGUAUGAAAAUAUACUACAUAAAAUCAUAUAUGUGCAUUUGUCAGUUGAGUGCCCUUUUGUCAGUCACCCAACGUCCCUAAAUUUUUAAAAUGAGGAUGACAAUCCUCCUACCCAGUUUUCUGAAGAUUAGAUGAGGUGAUAUAUUUGGAACAGCAACAAUAACAAAAAAUCCCCACAAAUCUAAAAAGAGCUGUGCUUAGCACUUGAAUUCCCUAAAUGUCAGUUUUCUUCAGCUGGUAAACAAUGAAGUAUAGAUGACAACACAAAGAAUUCACCAAUACUUACCCAUCUUUGAACAGAGUCAAAAAAUACCAAAAAAACAAACAAACGAAAAAUAAUUUCUGGGGCAGGCCUGGUUGCACAG
rnacentral:lncRNA from 1 species